rnacentral:ncRNA from 1 species
UCCGGGGAGCUCGCACGAUCGGCGGGCUGAGAGGGCGGCCGCGGCCGCCGACCCAUGAACCUGAACUGGGUAAUGCCAGCGGAGGGAUGGGA